rnacentral:rRNA from 1 species
GACUGCGUGCCUUUGCAUAAUGAGCCUACGAGUUGUUUCUUACCGGCGAGGUUAAGUACUUCAGGUACGUAAGCCGAAGCGAGAGCGAGUGUUAAAAGCGCGUUAAGUCGGUAUGAGCAGACGCGAAACCUAGUGAUCUACCCAUGGCCAGGGUGAAGGAGCCGUAACAGGCGAUGGAGGACCCGUACCAGUUUCCGUUGAAAAGUGCUCGGAUGAGCUGAGGGUAGGGGUGAAAGGCUAAUCAAACUGGGAGAUAGCUCGUACUCCCCGAAAUGUCUUUAGGGACAGCCUCGAUAUAGCUUCACGGAGGUAGAGCUACUGAUAGGAUGCGAGGGCUUCAUCGCCUAUCAAUUCCUGACAAACUCCGAAUGCCGUGAAGUGUUUAUCGGGAGUGAGUCAUCGGGUGCUAAUGUCCGGUGGCGA